rnacentral:lncRNA from 1 species
GCCAGGCAUGGUGGCAGGCGCCUGUAAUCCCAGCUACUUGGGAGGCUGAGACAGGAGAAUCACUUGAACCCGGGAGGCGGAGGUUGCAGUAAGCCAAGAUUGUGCCAUUGCACUCCAGCCUGGGCAACAAGAGCAAAACUCCAUUUUUUUUUUUUGAGACGGAGUUUCGCUCUUGUUGCCCAGGCUGGAGUGCAACGGCGCGAUCUCGGCUCACUGCAACCUCCGCCUCCCAGCUCUCAGGUUCAAGUGAUUCUCCUGU